CAAGUAGACUCUCGAUCAAUCCUCAAACACUGAGCUAGAGAAGUGGAAGUAUGACCAGAUCCUGUAUUGCGUAGGGAUACAACGUACAUAGACGACUACCGAUUAGAGCACCAGCAUGUAGCUCAGGGAUAAGGGAUAACAUAAUGCCAUAAAUAACAAUUCAAAUCAUUCAAAAUUUUAUUGCAUAUUAUCAAAUGCAUAUACGUAUAUAUAUAUAUCACAUGUCGGGG
rnacentral:lncRNA from 1 species